AUACUUACCUAGCCGGGUGACACCAGGAUCACAUAGGUGGUUUUCCCAGGGUGAGGCAAAUCCAUUGCACUCCGGAUGUGCUAACCCCUAUGAUUUUCCCAAAUGUGGGAAACUUGACUGCAGAAUUUGUGGCAGUGGGGAACUGCGUUGGUGCUUUCUAGA